CACGUAGGGCGCAAGCGUUGUCCGGAAUUAUUGGGCGUAAAGAGCUCGUAGGCGGUCUGUUGCGUCCGCUGUGAAAACUCGGGGCUUAACCCCGAGCCUGCAGUGGAUACGGGCAGACUAGAGGUAGGUAGGGGAGAAUGGAAUUCCCGGUGUAGCGGUGAAAUGCGCAGAUAUCGGGAGGAACACCGGUGGCGAAGGCGGCAUCCUGGACCGGUAUUGACGCUGAGGCGCGAAAGCUAGGGGAGCAAACGGG
rnacentral:rRNA from 1 species